GGCCGGGGCUGGGGCGCGAUGCAUGGGAGGCUCCACCCCGCCUCCAUCUCUACGCGUGCAGCGGCGACCCCGGAGGAGCUCGAGCCACAUCCGUGGUCCACGUCGCCGUCGUCGGCAGGAGGAGCGUGGGUCGCAGAGAUGGCCGGCUCAGUCCGGCUUUCGCGCUGCCGUCCAUCCACCCAAGACACCAGUCCCCGCGUCCUCGCGUACAUCCUCUCUCGCUGUCACACACACUCUCUCUUCCGUCCUCUCACGCACGUCCUCGUGGCCGGAUAUUUGGUAAUUUCUUUUCUGAGCAUAAAUAGAUAUUGUGCCCCCACCUGUUUGUUGUUUUGCCCAGCUGAAAGGUGGAUCAAAUAUGAAAUACGUGAACGUUCCAUAGUGUGAAAAGCAAGCCAUGGUCUUGUUAAAGUUCCGUUGAAUUUCUGUGAUACCUAAGAAGUAUUAAUGCUCAUAUUUUUGCAAUUUGCUCUCCACAACUUUCAGUCACUGGUUCUUGAGGAAAGCAGGUAAUGCAUUUUGUUUGUGUCAACUAUACUGAAUCUGCAAAGCCUUUUUUAUCUUCAGAGAAAUUCACACUCUGCAUUAGUUGCAAAAGAUGCUGAUUUUGAUCUUAACAAUUGCAGGGAACUAUGAGACUUGCACAGUUUGGGCAGCGUCAGCACAACAGGCAGAGUUUCUGUUCAAGUAGUAGCAGACCAGCAAAGCGCGGACGAGGAGAUCCAGGUCAUGGGCCAUCCCCAUUUAGAUCUAUGUCAAUUAUAAGCUCCACAAGAAAAUAGCAAACUUUUGUAUCGACCGGGCGCAUCAGUGACUUGACGGGGAUAGCAAGACACAUAGAAGAAUAUAAAGCAUCAAGGUAGCAACUCGUUGGUUUUUGCUCCCAGCUGAUGCAUACUACUUUGCUUGCAGCCAUCGUCAACCAUUGUUGCUGGUAUCGUCACUUUUUUAGAACCAAAGAAAUAUUGCUUUUCAACUCAGAUGUGUGUUAGGUGAUGUUGCAUGCCAUUUUUGUUCAUCGGCCUGACAUGAUUUGGAUUGGUGCAGAGGUCGGUGUGAAUGAAAAGCUAGCUUCUGAAGACGCAGUCGAUUAUUAUUGCCUAUUUUUCUAUUGAAAGGUGUUGCUUCUUUUAUCUUGACAGUCGACGUCUGCUGGACCUGCCAGUUCUCAGGUGGAAGGUGGUGACCAGCAGCGCGCACGUGGACAAUGAUUGGGAUGGUGCUAUUACCCGUGCACAGGACUGCCUAAUGUCUAUUCUGGGAACGGUUAUUUCCCUGCUCUUGCAGACAAAUCACCUGAUUUGAACUGUGUACGAGAUAAAGUUAUGCAAGCUUCUGCGUGCUCGGAGUCCCCACUCUCAUGUUGUUGGAGCAGUGACAUACAUGUGGCGGCUAUCCUCAAUAGGGAGUAGCAAG